AAGACUAUACUUUCAGGGAUCAUUUCUAUAGUCUGUGACUGGAGAAGUUUCUCUGAACGUGUAGAGCACCCGAAACCACGAGGAGGAGACGCAGUGUUCUCUCCUGAGCGUGAAGCCGGCUCUUGGUGCUGCCUGUGCAGCUGCCACUUGCCCUUGAUGAUCGUUCUCCUCUCUCUGGUUGAGAGAGGCAGAGGGAGAGAACACCGUCUGAGUGGUU
rnacentral:snoRNA from 1 species